CGGGACGGGUGAGUAAUGCCUGGGAAACUGCCUGAUGGAGGGGGGUAACUACUGGAAACGGUAGCUAAUACCGCAUAACGUCGCAAGACCAAAGAGGGGGACCUUCGGGCCUCUUGCCAUCGGAUGUGCCCAGAUGGGAUUAGCUAGUAGGUGGGGUAACGGCUCACCUAGGCGACGAUCCCUAGCUGGUCUGAGAGGAUGACCAGCCACACUGGAACUGAGACACGGUCCAG
rnacentral:rRNA from 1 species